UACAGAGACUGCAAGCGUUAUUCGGAUUCACUGGGCGUAAAGGGUGCGCAGGUGGCCAAGUGUGUUAGGCGUGAAGGCCCGGGGCUUAACCCCGGAAUUGCACCUAAAACUACUUGGCUAGAGCAUUGGAGAGGGGAGCAGAAUUCAUGGUGUAGCAGUGAAAUGCGUAGAUAUCAUGAGGAAUACCAGAGGCGAAGGCGGCUCCCUGGACAAUUGCUGACACUCAGGCACGAAAGCGUGGGGAGCAAAAGGG
rnacentral:rRNA from 1 species